rnacentral:rRNA from 1 species
UACGUAGGGGGGCUAGCGUUGUCCGGAAUCAUUGGGCGUAAAGCGCGCGUAGGCGGCCCGGUAAGUCCGUUGUAAAAAGUCAAAGGCUCAACCUUUGAAAGCCGAUGGAUACUGCCGGGCUAGAGUCCGGAAGAGGCGAGUGGAAUUCCUGGUGUAGCGGUGAAAUGCGCAGAUAUCAGGAAGAACACCCGUGGCGAAGGCGGCUCUCUGGGACGGUACUGACGCUGAGACGCGAAAAGCGUGGGGAGCGAACAGG